rnacentral:lncRNA from 1 species
UUUGAGGGGGGAUUGAAAUUAAUCAAAUAUUGUUUUCAAAUAAACACGCGUGAAAAUUAAAUUCUUUGCACGACUACAUCCGGUGAUGUUUUCCAAAGACUCUGGUGCAAUUUGACUUGGUGAAACGAAGCUAAUGUAAUUAUUUGAUCAAAUAUUAAUGUAAUUAUUUAUGCUUAUUAAAAAUAAUCAUUGUUAUAAUAAAAAGUAAUAAUUUGAUAUGGAGAAAUGUAAUGUUUCAAAAAUAUUAUAUUAAUU